rnacentral:rRNA from 1 species
ACCAGCCGCGGUAAUUCCAGCUCCAAUAGCGUAUAUUAAAGUUGUUGCGGUUAAAAAGCUCGUAGUUGAAUUUCGGGAUUGACUCGAUGGUCGUGCCUUAAGGGGUAUGAACUGUCGUUGUUGAUUUCUCACCUUCUGGAGAAGCUCGAUGUCCUUAAUUGGAUGUCUUGUGGAACCAGGACCUUUACCUUGAAAAAAUUAGAGUGUUUAAAGCAGGCAUUUUGCUCGAAUACAUUAGCAUGGAAUAAUAGAAUAGGACGGCAUGGUUCUAUUUUGUU